AUUGAACGCUGGCGGCAUGCCUUACACAUGCAAGUCGAACGGCAGCACGGGUGCUUGCACCUGGUGGCGAGUGGCGAACGGGUGAGUAAUACAUCGGAACAUGUCCUGUAGUGGGGGAUAGCCCGGCGAAAGCCGGAUUAAUACCGCAUACGAUCUACGGAUGAAAGCGGGGGACCUUCGGGCCUCGCGCUAUAGGGUUGGCCGAUGGCGGAUUAGCGUGUUGGUGGGGUAAAGGCCUACCAAGGCGACGAUCAGUAGCUGGUCUGAGAGGACGACCAGCCACACUGGGACUGAGACACGGCCCAGACUCCUACGGGAGGCAGCAGUGGGGAAUUUUGGACAAUGGGCGAAAGCCUGAUCCAGCAAUGCCGCGUGUGUGAAGAAGGCCUUCGGGUUGUAAAGCACUUUUGUCCGGAAAGAAAUCCUUGGCCCUAAUACGGUCGGGGGAUGACGGUACCGGAAGAAUAAGCACCGGCUAACUACGUG
rnacentral:rRNA from 1 species